ACCAGAGCCUCCUAAGUACACCAGAGCCUCCUAAGAUUCAUUUAUUGUUUGCUACUGGAGGGACUGGAAUGCUCCUGGACACAGAAUGAAAAUCCAUUCAGCUCAGCAUAAGGGAAACUGCAUAAACCAAAGUACAAUAACUGUGAAACUGCAAUUUCAUAGGUGGUGUCCAAGGCAAGAGGCAAUGGGCAUAAACUAGAAUACAGGAAGUUCCAUAUGAACACCAGGAAGCACUUUUCUACUUCGGAGGUGCUGGAGCACUGGCACAGGCUGCGCGGUGGCUGAGGAGUCUCCUCCUUGGAGAUGACUGAAAGCUGCCUAGCCGUGGAUCUGGGCACCCUGCUCUGGGUGUCCCUGCUGGAGCAGGGCUUGGGUCAGGUGGACCCACAGAAGUCCCUGCCAGACUCAAUCACUCUGUGAUUUUGUGACUCUAUUUCUUGUUGCUCUGCUGGUCUCACAGAAUAUUUAUUUUUGAUGUUUGGGUAACAUUAACUGUAAGUAUUUUGAAUGAUCUAGUCAAAACUGUCCAUUGGAUUUGUCACCCAAUUAGUUUUCCUGUAUCUUUGAUUCAGAACAGAAGUUCUUUGGGUUGUACUCUUUACACAUUCACUGUCCAGGGUCAGACACUCUCCUAGGGAGUUUUUCUGAUAUAAAAUACAGACUCAGAAUGGUACCCCAGGAAAGCAGUAAUGAAUAUCCACUGUAGACCAGACACAUGCUCCUCUCAUGCAGUGCAUGUGCAUGCAUGUGUGUGUAAGAGGAAAGGUCUCUAUAGCAUAUUCUCUAUGAUUGUAAUUCUAUAAUAGGAAUGAGUAGAAAAGAUGAACUCAGGGACAAGAGAGGUGCUGGCUCAGCUCAUGAAAUGUGCUGGGGUGGUUGUUCAUGGGCUCUGAGACCACUCAUCUUGUGUGGUUCAAAAAUAUGUUAUUGCGGGGCUAUUCUUUGUGCACUGGAAGUGCAAAUACUCUGCACACCUCACAGGGAUUAUAUUGCUUGGUUAUUCAGCAGCAAUUCUGUAUACUGUGAAGGAGUGCUCAAAUUCUAAGUAAAACCUAUAUAGUUUAGAUUCAAAACUGCCUUUACAACAGUAAUAAAAUGAGGCUAAUAAGCGACCUCACUCCCCCAGAAUCUUUCACGGUUAUUUAAAGGAUUGAGUUGAGAAGAGGAAAAGAGUGAAAAAGAAAAUGAGAGAACAGGAAGGAAGGAAAGAAAAGCAAGAAAGCAAGAAAGACAGUAAGAAGAAGAAAAAGGAUAAUUGUCCCCACAUCCUCACAGAUGAUUGAAGGGCUCACAAAAGGGUUUUUCAAUGCUGUGCUGUAAUAUCUUAUUUUAGGUUCUGAUCUGAAAUCCUUUGACGUCAGCUAACUUCCAUUGACUUUAAUGUGCUCUAGAUCAAGCCUGUUAUGUGGAUCUCAGACUUACUGUCUGCGGAUUAGCAUGAAUCUCUGGAUUAGCUUUCCAGAACAAACAAGUGACUUUAAAAAUGAAUUAGGCUAGUGUUUUAACAUUAACAGGUUUCAAUAUAAAUGUGACUGAGCAGAUGGGUGGCACGGUGUUUUUGAAAGGUGUGUGAUUGUCAUUUUAACAGCAUGUUUUCUGUUGGGGUUAAUAGUAUUUAGGUUAAUGGAAAAGGUGCCUGUCUUGUGAAGCGUUUUCAGCAGAAAUGUUGGAGUCUAAACAAAAAUCUUUUCCCAUUCUGAAAAAUAUGUGGAGCUGCAGAAUUUUGCUACUUUCCCCUUUAUCUCCUACCUAUGUGUCUACAUUAUGUACCUAGUGAGUAUAUCUAUGCCAUUAUAAAAUGUAUAAUCUUCAUCAGUUGAUAAUAUGUAUCAUCUCUGUUAGAUUACAGAAGACUGUAUGCAUAUUAAAAUACAGACAUACCUACCUUAUACUUGUAUAAUAUUAAAUAUCUUUAAAGCUCUAAUGCCAUAUAUUAUUCCAGAAUCAUGAUUUCUUGACAUUUUGGAAAUUCCAUCUAGUUUUUUUUUUUUUAAGUAUCACAACUUUCUCACAGGUUUGACAUCAACCAGUCUUUCAGUUCUAACUCAUGGCUCUGUUCCAGUUUGAUUCCUGUAUGUGCACAUGUCAGUUGGCAACACACCAGCACUACAGAAAUAUCAUGGACUAAAGUAGGAUAUAAUACUCAGCCCUUAGAUUCCCUCAGCCAGAAAAUAGCCCUUGGGCUCUUCAGCAGUGCCUGCGGGGCAGUGAGUGUCGUCUUCAUGCUCUGGGAUUACUGGUUGUACCGCGGAGGAGUCCCAUAAAAGAAAGGUCUCAUAGGAGCAGGGUCUAUGCUCGCAUGCUGGAGGAGGGAGGAAUGGUCCGGAAGAUCCCGUGCCUUCUCCAUGUGAAACCCUGAGAGACAAAUCUCAGCCCUGAGAAACACCUGAUUGCCUGGCAGCAGCCGAAAAAAGAAGAUCCUUCCGCUCUGGAACACUUCCUUAGAAAGCUGUGAGAGUAAUGAGAACUUGGUGACAUUGGAAAUGGUUCAGAUUGCAGUCAGCAUUCAGCAACAUGAGCUUAACUGAGUUAUGUAGCAGAGACUUCAGAUUAGCACACCAAAACAAUUGGUGUGAACAGAAAGUGCUAAUGAAUCUAAGCUGCAAUUUGGCACCCAGAUGAAAAUAAAUUAUCCAAUAUGAUCCAAAAAUGCCAUGCAGUUCUCAAACGGAAAGGCUGUAUUGCUUCUGAAUAAGCUGGCAUGCAUAUUAUGCAUUGCUUUUCCUGCUCAUUUGAUAAACUUCUCUCUGUAUAUUUUGGCACAUUCAAACAAUCUUUUAUUAGAAAUGAUUGACUGUUCAUUAUUAAACUAUUAUUUUCAAUUAAAACAUGUCCUAUCCCCCCAAAAAAUCAAUUUAAAUAAUAAAAUAAAAACUGUGUUUUGAUUGUUUGUUUUGCACA